CCGCAUGGUUCUUGGCUGAAAGAUGGCGUAAGCUAUCGCUUUUGGAUGGACCCGCGGCGUAUUAGCUAGUUGGUGAGGUAAUGGCUCACCAAGGCGAUGAUACGUAGCCGAACUGAGAGGUUGAUCGGCCACAUUGGGACUGAGACACGGCCCAAACUCCUACGGGAGGCAGCAGUAGGGAAUCUUCCACAAUGGACGCAAGUCUGAUGGAGCAACGCCGCGUGAGUGAAGAAGGCUUUCGGGUCGUAAAACUCUGUUGUUGGAGAAGAAUGGUCGGCAGAGUAACUGUUGUCGGCGUGACGGUAUCCAACCAGAAAGCCACGGCUAACUACGUGCCAGCAGCCGCGGUAAUACGUAGGUGGCAAGCGUUAUCCGGAUUUAUUGGGCGUAAAGCGAGCGCAGGCGGUUUUUUAAGUCUGAUGUGAAAGCCCUCGGCUUAACCGAGGAAGCGCAUCGGAAACUGGGAAACUUGAGUGCAGAAGAGGACAGUGGAACUCCAUGUGUAGCGGUGAAAUGCGUAGAUAUAUGGAAGAACACCAGUGGCGAAGGCGGCUGUCUGGUCUGUAACUGACGCUG
rnacentral:rRNA from 1 species